UAACGCGUGGGUAACCUGCCCUGUACACACGGAUAACAUACCGAAAGGUAUGCUAAUACGAGAUAAAAUACUUUUAUCGCAUGGUAGAAGUAUCAAAGCUUUUGCGGUACAGGAUGGACCCGCGUCUGAUUAGCUAGUUGGUAAGGUAACGGCUUACCAAGGCGGCGAUCAGUAGCCGACCUGAGAGGGUGAUCGGCCACAUUGGAACUGAGACACGGUCCAAACUCCUACGGGAGGCAGCAGUGGGGAAUAUUGCACAAUGGGCGAAAGCCUGAUGCAGCAACGCCGCGUGAGCGAUGAAGGCCUUCGGGUCGUAAAGCUCUGUCCUCAAGGAAGAUAAUGACGGUACUUGAGGAGGAAGCCCCGGCUAACUACGUGCCAGCAGCCGCGGUAAUACGUAGGGGGCUAGCGUUAUCCGGAAUUACUGGGCGUAAAGGGUGCGUAGGUGGUUUCUUAAGUCAGAGGUGAAAGGCUACGGCUCAACCGUAGUAAGCCUUUGAAACUGGGGAACUUGAGUGCAGGAGAGGAGAGUGGAAUUCCUAGUGUAGCGGUGAAAUGCGUAGAUAUUAGGAGGAACACCAGUUGCGAAGGCGGCUCUCUGGACUGUAACUGACACUGAGGCACGAAAGCGUGGGGAGCAAACAGGAUUAGAUACCCUGGUAGU
rnacentral:rRNA from 1 species